GUGAGAAAGGCAAAUGAGAUCGGUUACAUAAACCAGCAGGAAGCAAAGGUCAGAACAGUACAAGGACAGAUGUGACGAUUGUUUGGUAAGGAGGGUCAGAAUCAGCCAGAAAACUCUCUCAGUAGAUUACGAGCUUCGUGAUGUUGCACACAACAGUGACUCUCCUUACUUUGGCUUCUACCUACAGGAAGUGCUCCUCAAUUAUUUAGGAGGAACAGCCUGUCACCCCGCGCACUAAGACGUGACUAUGCACAUCCAAUCCCUAAGACGCACUUGAUCUCAUUCUUUCAGCAUUGAGGAAUUUCAUGGCUCAGAUGGCGCUGCUUCUGUCCUCAGCUGUACUGUCUGUGGUUUGAAGACCCAACUGCUUCCCCCUCGGAAUCCAGUGUCUAAUGACCAGAUGCACAGAGCACUGGAAGUUCAGGUUCAGCAUCAGAGCUUUGCCCCAGAUCUGGUUCUGGCAGAAGAAUUUCAUUAUGGAUGCAAGACCUAAGAAGGAUUUAGGGUUCGUGAUGGCAAUGUGCUUGUUCUACAGGGGUCUAGGACAACCACACCUACCUCUAUACCUCUUCAUACCUCUGCCCCAUUCCCUGUUAUCUGCCUCACUGGCUCAGUCUCUCAAAAUAAAUUCACAAAGUUACACAGAGACAAGGCCCUAAGAAAUCAGGGGCAGGUUCCCUUAAGCAUCAGCUGAUUACAGAGCUAUACUUGUUUAAAGCAGGCCAUCAAAGCCACUCUGCACAAUUGUGUGCCUGUAACACUCUCCCUCUGCAUCUGAAUGCCUAACCCUUUCCUUAGUUUCUCUGGAGGUCCUGUUUAUCUCAGCAAUAACAACAGCAAUAAAGAACAAUUAAUAGUAAUAAUAACUGUAGUCAGUAUUAGCUUACAUCUGACUUGAUGUUCUCGGAGGGCAUCCGUCAGACCACUCCUUUAGGCCAGGGACCACUCCCUCUCUACUCACAGGAGCAUCCACUAUGGUGCUCUCCAGUACCUCUCAUCACUUGGCCCCCUGCUCAGAGCAGGAUGGAAGUGAAUGAGAUGGAGACAUUGUCUGUCUUGGUGGUCUCCUGGGCCUGCUGAGUACAGAGGUAUGAGCAAGCGCUGGGCUCUUCCUCCCCCAUCUCAUUUGUAAAAGGAAAAUGAGAUCAAAGGGGAGGGAGCGCCCCUGUUACUCUCCCUUGCAUUGAUCACUGCACACACAUCAUCACCUCAGUCUCUGCAGUGGAGAGCUAGAGGAGGCCGCGCAUCAGACACCCGCUUUCAUGAGAAGAAUCCAGCGUGUGACAUGAUGUCUAAUUUCCAGCCUCCCAAUUGCCCAGGCGGACCUCAUCCUCUGAAUUCAGCUCUUCCUAAAUGAAGGGAGCAGGGAGGGGGUCCUCCUGCUGGCAGAACGUUGAAAGCAAGAUCCAUGACAUAGGCCUGCGAGGAAGAUUUUGCUCGGGAAAUGCAUGGGUUUCCGUAUUCUGCACACCAAGCCUGUCUUCUAAUGACAGCCUUGGGAGUCAGACAUUUCUAAGUGCUAAUUAGAGGUGUUGAUUAUCGUGGUAACCCUGUGGGGGCUCAACCCAAGCCUGAGAGCAAAAGCCACAGAUAAAAUAAAGAUUGUUACAGUGGCUCCCGGUGUCACAUGAACAUCAAUACUGGAUUGUCAAUGCUCAGGCGCAAUCCAAUCUGGGACUCCAGCUAUUGCAAUGACGGAGUCCCAGGGUGAUACACGGGGCUGUCACACCUUUCACAAUAUGCAGUUCUGAUGGAGGUACGGAUACUUCAUCCUAAUCAAUCAGGAGAAGAAGAAGAAAAAAAAACAAAAAAACAACUCACCAGAACUCAGAUAUACAGAGAUUGACUUAUGAGAGGAUUUCACUAACACAUGAGCAAAGGCUGUGGCGAUGGGACACACAAAACCAACUUACGGCCAGAAAUAAAUGAGCUGCUUAGACGCUCGCAGUCUGCAGCGUCUCCAUUUAUGUCCUGACUCACUUAUGUUUUGCCAUGCGCACAUGUGACUUCUCUCGUGGAUGAGAAAUUUGGGCUAUUGAUUUCUUCUCACUUUACAUCCAUAUCCAUUGACAGUUCAUGACUACAUUGAAAAAAAAGAGUGGGAAUGAGAGACAGAAGUCUUGAGAAGGAGUCUUAAUUUGAGGGGUCGGUAGUAACAUAAGAGCAGGGGUUCUAGGGUCAGAAGAGGGUAAGGACCAGCCCUCUUUAGCUAAGGUCUGUAAACUUUAUCAUCGUCCUCCACCAGUUAGUAUAAUAUAUAGCCUCUAACUGCAUCAGGGACUAAAUGAAAUAAAGGCUAUCCAACUGUGAGAUUGUAUCUAUGUUGACACUGAUAAAUCACUAAGCCACAUUUGGCCUUACAUUCCUCCUUUGGAGUAAAUAGAAAAUAAUAAAAAUUAAAAUCCUGCUUCUAGAAUUUAAAAACUAACUGUGGGAAUGUGUUACUUACCAGUUACUUUGAAUCCAUAAAUAAUUCUGAAUUUAUGAUAAUGAUUAUCAUAAAAAUAACCUCAGAGAUCUCUGCUUUGAGGCUGGAUCAUCAGGGCCAAAACACAGGUCGCUUCCCUUGAACCUUUGACUUAUUGUGACUCUUGGGACAAAAUGGUCACAUUUUCUUCUUUUCUUUCUUUUUAAUCUAAAAUCACCUUUCCAAAAUUCCGGUGAGAUAAUCCGUGUGGGUUUCUUUUCCUGCCUGUGCAUUUGCCAAAUGUCCCAAUGAGCUUUGAAGUCAGG